rnacentral:rRNA from 1 species
AUGGAGACAGGCGAAGGCAGCGGUUCUGCCGAUCCAGUGGACAAGCUCCUCGAGCGGCUCCACCUCCAUGAAGAAGAAGACAAGGGUUUCAUGUGGGAGGAACUGGCGGAGCCGCUGGCGAAGGCCAAGUGGCUGGCGAUUGCAAAAGUGCACACGUCCAGGGGCUUUAGCCCGAGCGCCUUGUUUGCAGACAUGAGAUCUGCGUGGAAUCCUGCAAAGGAGGUGAUUUUGAGAAGUGUUGAUGAUAAUCUGUUCACUGUGCAAUUCGGCUGCCUGGGAGAUUGGAAUAAGGCGAUGCUGAUGGGGUCGUGGUUUUUUCACAACCACGCUUUAAUGUUGGAGGAAUAUGAUGGUUUCGCUAACCCUAGAUCGUUGGUCUUGGAUAAGAUCACAGUUUGGGCUCAGGUUCACAAGUUACCAUACAAUUACCUCCAUGAACAGGUUGUGAGGGGGAUGUGCAGGCCGAUGGGAGAGGUUAAAGAGGUUCAGAUCAAGAUCCCAGUGGGGCUUCGUGGGAAAAUUCGUCAGAGUAAAGGUCAGUAUGAGGGUGGACAAGAAGAUCACAUGGUUUGUGUCUAUAACAAAGGAUGA